GGUUACCGCUGGCAAGCAGCGUGGGGAGUGCGUAGGGGAGGGGCGUUAUCCGGAAUGGUGGGGUGUGAAGGGGUCGUAGGCGGUUUGUCGCGUCUGUCGUGAAAGUCCGGGGCUUAACCCCGGGUCUGCGGUGGGUACGGGCAUACUAGAGGGCAGUAGGGGAGACUGGAAUUCCUGGUGUAGCGGUGGAAUGCGCAGAUAUCAGGAGGAACACCGAUGGCGAAGGCAGGUCUCUGGGCUGUAACUGACGCUGAGGAGCGAAAGCAUGGGGAGCGAACAGGAUUAGAUACCCUAGUAGUC
rnacentral:rRNA from 1 species